rnacentral:sRNA from 1 species
UUGUUGUUGUAAUUAAGCAAAUAGGUAGAAAUAAUGAACACUCUCCUAGGACCAAAUCUUUGUGGAAGUCUGAGCCAUGAAGGGCCUAGGGAGUAAGGUGAAGACAUAGUAUUAAGUCAGAAGCCUCAGUGGCUGCCCAGAGCUCCUGGUGGGCGGGGCUGCCUCUGUGCUGCAGAACGUGUUGUGGCUGUUCCCUCAACUUUUAUUGCCCUGGCUGUGCGUGGGCUGUGAGAACCCUGCUCCUGUCCCCAGGGCACCUUAAAGGAUCUUCAGUACCUCAACUCUCAAGUUCAAAGGUGGGAAUACACAAGGUGUGUCUGAGGUGUGGGAAAAAGAGCAGAGUCAGGAAAGGAGUGGGGGAAAGGGUUGCCCAGGGCCAGGAAGGAAAGAACGGAAAGGGAGGGAGGAGAGGGAACUAGGGGAAUAGUUUAUCUGAGGUACAGAGGAACCGUGCCAGAGGUGGGGGUGGGGCAUGUGCAAAAUCCCUUGCCCCUAUAAUCACAUGCAAAUCUAUAAAGAAGGCCAGGGGCUUCUAUCAGAGUCUCGGAAACACGGUGGCCGCGAGCAGCAAGUCGACAGACACUGUGCUAGCAAGCAGCUUGUGCACAGGUUUUGGAGAGCUCGGUCUGGCAACGGUGUGCAUACUAGAAUGGAGUCUCACUAGUUCUGCUGGUGGAAAACAUGUUCCAUGGCAAGAUAAUGUGUAAAUAUUUGAAAUCUGACAUGUGGGUGUUUAAUAAGAUUGUCUGCCUCUCUGUGGAGGAGUUAAAAAUGUUUACUUCUAAUAGAGGCGGGCCCUGAGUUCAUACAGAAGCCUGAGAGUUCAGGAAAGUACCCACUAGCUGCGUGGCCUCCUUUGCUGACUGCCCCACAGUUGGCUUUGACUCUGCCGGAGGCUCUCAGCUCUCUGAUCUGCCUUUUCUCUCAUUCCAGGUUGGCUGGGUGCUGGUCAUCGAUUUACUCAUUCCACAAAUAUUUUCUUGAAUGCUGACUACUGUGCCAGGGUUGUUUUCUGGGAGAUUAGACGUGAAAGACGCUAUGGGAUUACCUGUUCUGCACUUCCGGUUGGUGGGUUGCCAGAAGUCCAACAGCACCAAGAGGACCAGUUCUGACAUGCAGGAGAACGACAGCUCCAUCUCCAUCCCUUCCUCCUGUGGGAUCCAACCUCGGCCCAUCUCUCAGGUCCACACAGAGAUGCUGGGAGGCCUGAAGUUGUUUAUUUUGAAAAGGAAUGUAAUAACGGUUAUUUGAAGAAAAUGACUGAGGUGACUGAAUUCCUGGGCAGGCAGGCAGGCCGGCAGGCCGCACCACUUGACUGAAGCACUAUUUAACCGAAGAUUUCAAAGAUUCUGGUGACAACUCCAUCGCUUGCUCUUUUCAUGGUAACUUCGUUUUUUUUAAAGCUUUGAAUCAAGUCACCUACAGAAGGGAGACAAGGCAGACAGAAGGAGAGCCGCCACCAUGCUGAGUUUCUCAAACUGGCCUUCGGAGAACUUCUCUUUGAAACGCUCUUUAAUCAAGGCAAUAACCCUGAGACGCUGUUAGCUCAGAGUUGCCCCCUGUACGUCUCUGCCUUCUCUCCUGUGUCCCCUUCUUCCUGUCAAAUUCCCUUGUGACCCACCAGUUUUCUCCCUGACAAACCAACAAGCCUUGUCUUGUGUGUACAGAUUCAGGUUAUGAUUUUCCUCCACAAUGCCUUCCAGACUCCUCAUUGUCCAUUCUGUUCUUCUAGAAACCUUGUGACUCCUUCAUUAGCUGACAAACUAGUUCAAGAACUUUUCCUACUAACAGUUAGUGCCCCAAAGGAGGAACGACUAUACCUGAGAACCAAAUAAAUCGCAAAAAAACAUAUUUGCAGAACUGGAGUUAGGGGCACUUGCUGCUCUUCCA